rnacentral:rRNA from 1 species
AACGAACGCUGGCGGCAUGCCUAACACAUGCAAGUCGAACGAGACCUUCGGGUCUAGUGGCGCACGGGUGCGUAACGCGUGGGAACCUGCCCUUAGGUUCGGAAUAACUCCCCGAAAGGGGUGCUAAAACCGGAAAAUGUCUUCGGACCAAAGAUUUAUCGCCUUUGGAUGGGCCCGCGUUGGAUUAGCUAGUUGGUAGGGUAAAAGCCUACCAAGGCGACGAUCCAUAGCUGGUCUGAGAGGAUGAUCAGCCACACUGGGACUGAGACACGGCCCAGACUCCUGCGGGAUGCAGCAGUGGGGAAUAUUGGACAAUGGGCGAUAGCCUGAUCCAGCAAUGCCGCGUGAGUGAUGAAGGCCUUAGGGUUGUAAAGCUCUUUUACCCGGGAUGAUAAUGACAUUACCGGGAGAAUAAGCUCCGGCUAACUCCGUG